rnacentral:rRNA from 1 species
ACGGAGGGAGCUAGCGUUGUUCGGAAUUACUGGGCGUAAAGCGUACGUAGGCGGCUAUUCAAGUCAGAGGUGAAAGCCCGGGGCUCAACCCCGGAACUGCCUUUGAAACUAGGUAGCUAGAAUCUUGGAGAGGUCAGUGGAAUUCCGAGUGUAGAGGUGAAAUUCGUAGAUAUUCGGAAGAACACCAGUGGCGAAGGCGACUGACUGGACAAGUAUUGACGCUGAGGUACGAAAGCGUGGGGAGCAAACAGGAUUAGAUACCCUGGUAGUCCACGCCGUAAACGAUGAUAACUAGCUGUCCGGGCUCUCAGAGCUUGGGUGGCGCAGCUAACGCAUUAAGUUAUCCGCCUGGGGAGUACGGUCGCAAGAUUA